GGGAAACUCACCAGGUCCAGACAUAAUAAGGAUUGACAGAUUGAUAGCUCUUUCUUGAUUUUAUGGGUGGUGGUGCAUGGCCGUUCUUAGUUCGUGGAGUGAUUUGUCUGCUUAAUUGCGUUAACGAACGAGACCUUCACCUGCUAAAUAGGAGCGCAUAUCUUCGGAUAAGCGCCUUUCUUCUUAGAGGGACUUUCGGCGUUCUCAGUCGGAGUAAGUUGGAGGCUAAAA
rnacentral:rRNA from 1 species